rnacentral:lncRNA from 1 species
GGGAAAUACACAGAAAAAAAUUACCUCGGGAUUGCCUCCUACCAGCUAAAACACGUAGCCAAGGCAGCUUGUAGAUGCCACGAUUCGAUGCUUAAUAAACACAUGGGCAUGGGUAUUAUAUCGAUCUUCAAUGCAGCUGGUUGGGAGGUGAGGUCUCAAUGUUGGAUCACAUGAAAUCGAUUAUCAAAAGGGAUUUGGAAUUGCUUAGGCGGCUGAAAUAAUUAAUGUUG